rnacentral:rRNA from 1 species
GUAGGUGGCAAGCGUUGUCCGGAAUUAUUGGGCGUAAAGCGCGCGCAGGCGGUUCUUUAAGUCUGAUGUGAAAGCCCACGGCUCAACCGUGGAGGGUCAUUGGAAACUGGAGAACUUGAGUACAGAAGAGGAAAGCGGAAUUCCACGUGUAGCGGUGAAAUGCGUAGAGAUGUGGAGGAACACCAGUGGCGAAGGCGGCUUUCUGGUCUGUAACUGACGCUGAGGCGCGAAAGCGUGGGGAGCAAACAGGAUUAGAUACCCUGGUAGUCCACGCCGUAAACGAUGAGUGCUGAGUGUUAGGGGGUUUCCGCCCCUUAGUGCUGCAGCUAACGCAUUAAGCACUCCGCCUGGGAGUACGGCCGCAAGGCUG